CGGGACACGUGGUAUCCUGUCUGAAUAUGGGGGGACCAUCCUCCAAGGCUAAAUACUCCUGACUGACCGAUAGUGAACCAGUACCGUGAGGGAAAGGCGAAAAGAACCCCGGCGAGGGGAGUGAAAAAGAACCUGAAACCGUGUACGUACAAGCAGUGGGAGCACGCUUAGGCGUGUGACUGCGUACCUUUUGUAUAAUGGGUCAGCGACUUAUAUUCUGUAGCAAGGUUAACCGAAUAGGGGAGCCGAAGGGAAACCGAGUCUUAACUGGGCGUUAAGUUGCAGGGUAUAGACCCGAAACCCGGUGAUCUAGCCAUGGGCAGGUUGAAGGUUGGGUAACACUAACUGGAGGACCGAACCGACUAAUGUUGAAAAAUUAGCGGAUGACUUGUGGCUGGGGGUGAAAGGCCAAUCAAACCGGGAGAUAGCUGGUUCUCCCCGAAAGCUAUUUAGGUAGCGCCUCGUGAAUUCAUCUCCGGGGGUAGAGCACUGUUUCGGCAAGGGGG
rnacentral:rRNA from 1 species